AACCUCUUUGACCUUCAUCAUAUGUUAGUGAAGGAUGCAAAAAUGCACUAAAAAAAUAUUUUCAUAUUUUUUUAAUUUUCUAAAAAUCUAUGUGUUAACCCCUACGAAAAUAUUGAGUUUUUCGGUAAAUGUUCUGUAUAAUGAAGCCUAUGAUCUUUAGUGUUAUUUUAAAAUUUAUAAACACAUUCUAUAUUUAUAUUAAUGUAUAUUAAACUAUCUUUCAUGGUACAAGGGCAUCAUGUUAAUUUUUUGUC
rnacentral:lncRNA from 1 species